rnacentral:rRNA from 1 species
AGAGUUUGAUCCUGGCUCAGGACGAACGCUGGCGGCGUGCCUAAUACAUGCAAGUAGAACGCUGAAGGAGGAGCUUGCUUCUCUGGAUGAGUUGCGAACGGGUGAGUAACGCGUAGGUAACCUGCCUGGUAGCGGGGGAUAACUAUUGGAAACGAUAGCUAAUACCGCAUAAUAGUAGAUGUUGCAUGACAUUUGCUUAAAAGGUGCAAUUGCAUCACUACCAGAUGGACCUGCGUUGUAUUAGCUAGUUGGUGAGGUAACGGCUCACCAAGGCGACGAUACAUAGCCGACCUGAGAGGGUGAUCGGCCACACUGGGACUGAGACACGGCCCAGACUCCUACGGGAGGCAGCAGUAGGGAAUCUUCGGCAAUGGACGGAAGUCUGACCGAGCAACGCCGCGUGAGUGAAGAAGGUUUUCGGAUCGUAAAGCUCUGUUGUAAGAGAAGAACGAGUGUGAGAGUGGAAAGUUCACACUGUGACGGUAUCUUACCAGAAAGGGACGGCUAACUACGUGCCAGCAGCCGCGGUAAUACGUAGGUCCCGAGCGUUGUCCGGAUUUAUUGGGCGUAAAGCGAGCGCAGGCGGUUAGAUAAGUCUGAAGUUAAAGGCUGUGGCUUAACCAUAGUACGCUUUGGAAACUGUUUAACUUGAGUGCAGAAGGGGAGAGUGGAAUUCCAUGUGUAGCGGUGAAAUGCGUAGAUAUAUGGAGGAACACCGGUGGCGAAAGCGGCUCUCUGGUCUGUAACUGACGCUGAGGCUCGAAAGCGUGGGGAGCGAACAGGAUUAGAUACCCUGGUAGUCCACGCCGUAAACGAUGAGUGCUAGGUGUUAGGCCCUUUCCGGGGCUUAGUGCCGCAGCUAACGCAUUAAGCACUCCGCCUGGGGAGUACGACCGCAAGGUUGAAACUCAAAGGAAUUGACGGGGGCCCG